rnacentral:tRNA from 1 species
GCAUCGGUAGCUCAGUUACAGAGCACCGGUCUUGUAAACCGGAGGCCGAGGGCUUGCCCCCCUCCCGACGCU